AGCCGUGCAGUAAGGGUGCGGGUGCUAAGGUCCGUGCCCGAGAGGAGAAGAAUCCAGACCGCCGUCUAAGGUCCCGGAAUCCUGUCUGAGUUAGUCUAACGAAGUGUGGCCUCGAUGACAGCUAGGAUGUUGGCUUGGAAGCAGCCAUUCAUUCAAAGAGUGCGUAACAGCUCACUAGUCGAGAGGCCGUGCGUGGAUAAUAAUCGGGUAUAAGGCAGGUACCGAAGGCGCGGGAUAGCAUUUUGAAAAGUAUCGGUAGGGGAGCAUUCCAUGUGUGCAGAAUCAUCAGGGUGACCUGGUGUGGAGCGCAUGGAAACGCAAAUGUAGGUAUAAGUAACGAUUAGGGGUGUGCGAUCCACCCCCGCCGUAAGACUAAGGUUUCCCGGGCCAUGCUGAUCAUCCCGGGGUGAGUCGGGUCCUAAGGCUCAGGCGACGGCCGAAGCCGAUGGCUGACACGGUUAAUAUUCCGUGACUGCCUUCAGGAGCGACGCGGUGACGGAGCAGUGACACUGCCGCGGGCUGACGGAAUAGCCCGUUGACGGGUGUAGGCUAUGAGAGGUGCAGGCAAAUCCACACCUUGAGCUGAACCCCUACAGUACGGCAUCCCCUUCGGGGGAAGCUGACAGCGCAGGUAAUCAUACUCCCGAGAAAAACCGCUAAGCCUAAUCUUGGAGGUACCCGUACCGCAGACCGACACAGGUAGUCGGGUAGAACAUACUGAGGCGUUGAGAGAUUCGUGGCUAAGGAACUAGGCAAACUGACCCUGUAACUUCGGGAUAAAGGGUCCUCGUUUCGGCGAGGCGCAGAGAAUAGGUCCAGGCAACUGUUUAACAAAAACACAGGGCUGUGCAAACUCGAAAGAAGAUGUAUACAGCCUGACACCUGCCCGGUGCCGGAAGGUUAAGAGGAGAUGUCACCAGCGAUGGGAAGCAUUGAAUUGAAGCCCCGGUAAACGGCGGCCGUAACUAUAACGGUCCUAAGGUAGCGAAAUUCCUUGUCGGGUAAGUUCCGACCUGCACGAAU
rnacentral:ncRNA from 1 species